rnacentral:rRNA from 1 species
GACGGGUGAGUAAUGUCUGGGAAACUGCCUGAUGGAGGGGGAUAACUACUGGAAACGGUAGCUAAUACCGCAUAACGUCGCAAGACCAAAGAGGGGGACCUUCGGGCCUCUUGCCAUCAGAUGUGCCCAGAUGGGAUUAGCUAGUAGGUGGGGUAACGGCUCACCUAGGCGACAAUCCCUAGCUGGUCUGAGAGGAUGACCAGCCACACUGGAACUGAGACACGGUCCAGACUCCUACGGGAGGCAGCAUG